rnacentral:rRNA from 1 species
GCCUGCGCGGAAGAUGUAACGGGGCUAAACCAUGCACCGAAGCUGCGGCAGCGACACUGUGUGUUGUUGGGUAGGGGAGCGUUCUGUAAGCCUGCGAAGGUGGCCUGUGAGGGUUGCUGGAGGUAUCAGAAGUGCGAAUGCUGACAUAAGUAACGAUAAAGCGGGUGAAAAGCCCGCUCGCCGGAAGACCAAGGGUUCCUGUCCAACGUUAAUCGGGGCAGGGUGAGUCGACCCCUAAGGCGAGGCCGAAAGGCGUAGUCGAUGGGAAACGGGUUAAUAUUCCCGUACUUGGUGUUACUGCGAAGGGGGGACGGAGAAGGCUAUGUUGGCCGGGCGACGGUUGUCCCGGUUUAAGCGUGUAGGUGUGUGUUCCAGGUAAAUCCGGUUCACUUUAACACUGAGGCGUGACGACGAGGCACUACGGUGCUGAAGCAACAAAUGCCCUGCUUCCAGGAAAAGCCUCUAAGCAUCAGGUAACAUCAAAUCGUACCCCAAACCGACACAGGUGGUCAGGUAGAGAAUACCAAGGCGCUUGAGAGAACUCGGGUGAAGGAACUAGGCAAAAUGGUGCCGUAACUUCGGGAGAAGGCACGCUGACACGUAGGUGAAGUGAUUUACUCAUGGAGCUGAAGUCAGUCGAAGAUACCAGCUGGCUGCAACUGUUUAUUAAAAACACAGCACUGUGCAAACACGAAAGUGGACGUAUACGGUGUGACGCCUGCCCGGUGCCGGAAGGUUAAUUGAUGGGGUCAGCGCAAGCGAAGCUCCUGAUCGAAGCCCCGGUAAACGGCGGCCGUAACUAUAACGGUCCUAAGGUAGCGAAAUUCCUUGUCGGGUAAGUUCCGACCUGCACGAAUGGCGUAAUGAUGGCCAGGCUGUCUCCACCCGAGACUCAGUGAAAUUGAACUCGCUGUGAAGAUGCAGUGUACCCGCGGCAAGACGGAAAGACCCCGUGAACCUUUACUAUAGCUUGACACUGAACAUUGAGCCUUGAUGUGUAGGAUAGGUGGGAGGCUUUGAAGUGUGGACGCCAGUCUGCAUGGAGCCGACCUUGAAAUACCACCCUUUAAUGUUUGAUGUUCUAACGUGGACCCGUUACCCGGGUUGCGGACAGUGUCUGGUGGGUAGUUUGACUGGGGCGGUCUCCUCCUAAAGAGUAACGGAGGAGCACGAAGGUUGGCUAAUCCUGGUCGGACAUCAGGAGGUUAGUGCAAUGGCAUAAGCCAGCUUGACUGCGAGCGUGACGGCGCGAGCAGGUGCGAAAGCAGGUCAUAGUGAUCCGGUGGUUCUGAAUGGAAGGGCCAUCGCUCAACGGAUAAAAGGUACUCCGGGGAUAACAGGCUGAUACCGCCCAAGAGUUCAUAUCGACGGCGGUGUUUGGCACCUCGAUGUCGGCUCAUCACAUCCUGGGGCUGAAGUAGGUCCCAAGGGUAUGGCUGUUCGCCAUUUAAAGUGGUACGCGAGCUGGGUUUAGAACGUCGUGAGACAGUUCGGUCCCUAUCUGCCGUGGGCGCUGGAGAACUGAGGGGGGCUGCUCCUAGUACGAGAGGACCGGAGUGGACGCAUCACUGGUGUUCGGGUUGUCAUGCCAAUGGCACUGCCCGGUAGCUAAAUGCGGAAGAGAUAAGUGCUGAAAGCAUCUAAGCACGAAACUUGCCCCGAG